GGAGAGAUGGCUGAGUGGACGAAAGCGUCGGAUUGCUAAUCCGUUGUACGAGUUUUCGUACCGAGGGUUCGAAUCCCUCUCUUUCCG
rnacentral:tRNA from 1 species